UACGGAGGGUGCAAGCGUUGCUCGGAAUUAUUGGGCGUAAAGGGCAAGUAGGUGGUCUCAUUUGUCUGGGGUGAAAGCCUUGAGCUUAACUCAAGAAGUGCCCCGGAAACGGUGAGACUCGAGUACUGGAGAGGGUCGUGGAAUUCCCGGUGUAGCGGUGAAAUGCGUAGAGAUCGGGAGGAACACCUGAGGCGAAGGCGGCGACCUGGACAGUUACUGACACUCAACUGCGAAAGCGUGGGGAGCAAACAGG
rnacentral:rRNA from 1 species